rnacentral:rRNA from 1 species
UACGAAGGGGGCUAGCGUUGCUCGGAAUUACUGGGCGUAAAGCGCACGUAGGCGGGUUGUUAAGUCGGGGGUGAAAUCCUGGAGCUCAACUCCAGAACUGCCUUCGAAACUGACGAUCUUGAGUUCGGGAGAGGUGAGUGGAACUGCGAGUGUAGAGGUGAAAUUCGUAGAUAUUCGCAAGAACACCAGUGGCGAAGGCGGCUCACUGGCCCGAUACUGACGCUGAGGUGCGAAAGCGUGGGGAGCAACAGGAU